AAACCAACAGGGAUUGCCUUAGUAACUGCGAGUGAAGCGGCAAAAGCUCAAAUUUGAAAUCCUUCGGGAGUUGUAAUUUGAAGGUUUGGAGAUUGGCGCGACAGAAAAGUUGCCUGGAACGGCACGCCACAGAGGGUGACAGCCCCGUUAGUCUGCCUUUUAUAUCUCCUUUCCAAAGAGUCGAGUUGUUUGGGAAUGCAGCUCAAAGUGGGUGGUAAAUUCCAUCUAAGGCUAAAUAUUGGCGAGAGACCGAUAGCGAACAAGUACUGUGAAGGAAAGAUGAAAAGAACUUUGAAAAGAGAGUGAAAAAGUAUGUGAAAUUGUUGAAAGGGAAGGGUGUUGGGAGAGACAUGGGCGUUCAGUUCAGCGGUACUUUGGUGCCGUGUACUCUGGGCGUCCGCGGGAUGGUUGGGGACGAGAGAGUGAAAAAGCCCUUGAGCCCGCUUCGGCACCGCUCUUGGGUUCUGGCUCUCCUCGCUCCUUGCCCUCCCUUAAUCUCACAACACCAC
rnacentral:rRNA from 1 species